ACACCUCAACUCUCAUGGUCCGCCAUGAUGAGCUUGGACUUUGGGGGUCUUGCCGGCCUAGUGUCGGCUCCUCUCAAAUGGAUCAGCUUGCCAGUGUUUGGUGGCGUCACAGGUGUGAUAACUAUCUACGCUUGUGGUUUCUGCCAUGCAACCUUCAGUGAUGGAGGUUCGCUGGAGCUCACAGAUGUCUCUCCUUGGGGAGGACAGCUUUUUGAAC
rnacentral:misc_RNA from 2 species